rnacentral:rRNA from 1 species
UAGUGGCGAACGGGUGAGUAACACGUGGGUGACCUGCCCUGAGAAGCAGGAUAACUCUGGGAAACCAGAGCUAAUACUGCGGAUGUUGAGAGCUAAGGGCUUUCAACUAAAGUUUCGGCGUCUCGGGAGGGGCCUGCGGGCUAUCAGCUAGUUGGAGAGGUAAAAGCUCACCAAGGCGAAGACGGCUAGGGGGCGUGAGAGCGCGACCCCCCACAAUGGAACUGAGAAACGGUCCAUACUCCUACGGGAGGCAGCAGUGAGGGAUAUUGCCCAAUGGGGGAAACCCUGAGGCAGCAACGCCGCGUGGAUGAAGAAGGCCUUCGGGUUGUAAAAUCCUUUUGUGCGGGAAGAUGGUGACGGUACCGCACGAAUAAGUCCCGGCUAACUACGUGCCAGCAGCCGCGGUAAAACGUAGGGGACAAGCGUUAUCCGGAUUUAUUGGGCGUAAAGCGCUCGUAGGCGGCUUUUUAAGCUGGACGUGAAAGCUCCUGGCUUAACUGGGAGAGGUCGUUCAGGACUGGAAGGCUAGAGGCUGAAAGAGGAACGUGGAAUUCCCGGUGUAGUGGUGGAAUGCGUAGAUAUCGGGAGGAACACCAGUGGCGAAAGCGGCGUUCUGGUUCAGCCC